CUGGGAACAGCACGGCCGCAAAUCUGACUUUGCCCAUCGUGGGCUUUGAGAUUGCGGAAGUGU
rfam:Halophilic archaeon DL31, complete genome.